GACGAACGCUGGCGGCGCGCUUAAUACAUGCAAGUCGAGCGAGAACCAGGGCUUCGGCCCUGGGGACAGCGGCGAACGGGUGAGUAACACGUGGGUAAUCAACCCCCGACACCGGGAUAGCCCAGGGAAACUUGGAUUAAUACCGGAUGCCCCAUCUGGCUUUCGAGCCGGCUGGAAAAGGGUAGCUUCGGCCUCCGGUCGGGGACGAGCCCGCGGCGGAUUAGCUUGUUGGUGAGGUAAAGGCUCACCAAGGCGACGAUCCGUAGCUGGUCUGAGGGGACGAUCAGCCACACUGGGACUGGGAGACGGCCCAGACUCCUACGGGAGGCAGCAGUAGGGAAUCUUGCGCAAUGGGCGAAAGCCUGACGCAGCGACGCCGCGUGAGGGAAGAAGGCCUUCGGGUUGUAAACCUCUUUCAAGAGGGACGAAGCCACACGGGUUAAUAGCCUAGAGGGUGACGGUACCUCCAGAAGAAGCCCCGGCUAACUACGUGCCAGCAGCCGCCGUAA
rnacentral:rRNA from 1 species